rnacentral:rRNA from 1 species
CCCUACGGGGGGCAGCAGCCGCGGUAAUACGUAGGUGGCAAGCGUUGUCCGGAUUUAUUGGGCGUAAAGCGAGUGCAGGCGGUUCAAUAAGUCUGAUGUGAAAGCCUUCGGCUCAACCGGAGAAUUGCAUCAGAAACUGUUGAACUUGAGUGCAGAAGAGGAGAGUGGAACUCCAUGUGUAGCGGUGGAAUGCGUAGAUAUAUGGAAGAACACCAGGGGGGAAGGCGGCUCUCUGGUCUGCAACUGACGCAGAGGGUCGGAAACAAGGGGAGGGAACAGGAUUAGAAACCCCGGGAGUCCUAAGG